UACGUAGGUGGCAAGCGUUGUCCGGAUUUACUGGGCGUAAAGAGCGCGCAGGCGGUCGAAUAAGUCGAAUGUGAAAGCCCCCGGCUCAACUGGGGAGGGUCAUUCGAUACUGCUCGACUUGAAGGCAGGAGAGGGUAGUGGAAUUCCCGGUGUAGUGGUGAAAUGCGUAGAUAUCGGGAGGAACACCAGUGGCGAAGGCGGCUACCUGGCCUGUAACUGACGCUGAGACGCGAAAGCGUGGGGAGCGAACCGG
rnacentral:rRNA from 1 species